rnacentral:rRNA from 1 species
AGUGAACGCUGGCGGUAGGCCUAACACAUGCAAGUCGAACGGCAGCACAGUAAGAGCUUGCUCUUACGGGUGGCGAGUGGCGGACGGGUGAGGAAUACAUCGGAUUCUACUUUUUCGUGGGGGAUAACGUAGGGAAACUUACGCUAAUACCGCAUACGACCUACGGGUGAAAGCAGGGGAUCUUCGGACCUUGCGCGAUUGAAUGAGCCGAUGUCGGAUUAGCUAGUUGGCGGGGUAAAGGCCCACCAAGGCGACGAUCCGUAGCUGGUCUGAGAGGAUGAUCAGCCACACUGGAACUGAGACACGGUCCAGACUCCUACGGGAGGCAGCAGUGGGGAAUAUUGGACAAUGGGCGCAAGCCUGGUCCAGCCAUACCGCGUGGGUGAAGAAGGCCUUCGGGUUGUAAAGCCCUUUUGUUGGGAAAGAAAAGCAGCAGGUUAAUACCCCGCUGUUCUGACGGUACCCAAAGAAUAAGCACCGGCUAACUUCGUG